rnacentral:rRNA from 1 species
CCUACGGGUGGCAGCAGUGGGGAAUAUUGGACAAUGGGCGAAAGCCUGAUCCAGCCAUGCCGCGUGUGUGAAGAAGGCCUUCGGGUUGUAAAGCACUUUCAGUGGGGAAGAAAGCCUUGGGGCUAAUACCCUCGAGGAAGGACAUCACCCACAGAAGAAGCACCGGCUAACUCCGUGCCAGCAGCCGCGGUAAUACGGAGGGUGCGAGCGUUAAUCGGAAUUACUGGGCGUAAAGCGCGCGUAGGCGGUCUGAUAAGCCGGUUGUGAAAGCCCCGGGCUCAACCUGGGAACGGCAUCCGGAACUGUCAGGCUAGAGUGCAGGAGAGGAAGGUAGAAUUCCCGGUGUAGCGGUGAAAUGCGUAGAGAUCGGGAGGAAUACCAGUGGCGAAGGCGGGCUUCUGGACUGACACUGACGCUGAGGUGCGAAAGCGUGGGUAGCAAACAGGAUUAGAUACCCCAGUAGUC